CUGACCUUUUUUUUUYUCUCUCUCUUUCUUUUUGCUUUUUUUCUGUGGUAACCCUUUUACCUUCUUUUCCCUGCUUAGACCCAUUAGCAGGAUGUUGUGCAAUAUGGUGCUUGUCAUCUGUUUCAAAGACACAGUGAUGAGAUACAGGUAUGCCAGAUGGAUAAACCUAGUGUGACUAAUUAUUGUGUAUUUGCCUUUAAUUAUUAUCAUUUAUUACCAGAGAAAAGACAAUAGAGKUUCCCAGACUCGGAAGGGAAUGUGGGCAGAAGGGGAAUUUUUUUUCUUUUUUUCAAGAGAUUGGUACGUCAGCAAGAAAAGUUUUCUUCCUGGGGAGAAAUACAAGCAAACAUGAAGACAAGAGGACUCAGCGUGAUCCAUGUAAUGCUCUCCUUUCCCUGACGUGUACUCAAGAAUCAGCUAUCUCACAGCUCCUGCGCUUAAGCCACAGAAAAAGUAGGACACUGGCACCAUAGAAACCAUUUGCCCCACACCUCUGUGCGGUUCCUGCAGGCCUGGGAGGAAAUCUGCCUGGAGGACCCGCAACGUCCUGUCCCGAGCUCCCUGAGGUGCGUUACGACUGCGAACACUGCCUCUUUCUCAGAGCAGCGUUUAAGCGUGAGUAUUUAUCUYAGGAAAAAACAAAC
rnacentral:lncRNA from 1 species